rnacentral:rRNA from 1 species
UACGUAGGUGACAAGCGUUGUCCGGAUUUACUGGGCGUAAAGAGCGCGCAGGCGGUCGAUCAAGUCGAGUGUGAAAAGCCCCCGGCUCAACUGGGGAGGGUCAUUCGAUACUGAUCGACUCGAAGGCAGGAGAGGGUAGUGGAAUUCCCGGUGUAGUGGUGAAAUGCGUAGAUAUCGGGAGGAACACCAGUGGCGAAGGCGACUACCUGGCCUGUUCUUGACGCUGAGGCGCGAAAGCUAGGGGAGCAAACGGG